GGCUAAGUAAAGUAUUUCCGGAGGUUGGCAGCGUUCCACGCUCUGGGUAGUGGUUCGGCAGUCGAGGUUUCCAAUCGGUAAACACCAGGCUUAACGACCUCGACUAUCUUAUAUGGCCCUUCCCAAUUCGUUCCCAACUUGCCGGCCCUCCAUUCCUUUGUGUUUUCGAACACUUUACGAAGGACCUGAUCGUUGAGUUCCAACGGUCAGGCGCGAACCUUGUUGUUGUAAUAGGAUUCGGCAAGGUGUUGGUAGUUCUGGAUUUGGAGCAACGCUUGGUCUCUUCGCUCUUCGAUCGCAUCCAAGGCAUCAAACAGCAUCUCUCUGUUCAGUUCCUCAUUCCGUGGCAUUUUUGAUCGGCGAAGGCUCGUGACGUUAACUUCUACCGGUGCCAUAGCUUCGACCCCGUAU
rnacentral:lncRNA from 1 species